rnacentral:lncRNA from 1 species
UCUUCUCCCGCAACCUGGGACGCGUUCAUCCCUGGCUGGCGGACGGCGGUGCGCGGAGCAGCAGGCGUUGCAGAAACUGAGGCCCCGAGAGUACAGUGACUUCUCAUACUGCAGUCUGGACAGAGGAUCCAAGAUGGCUGAUGAGAAAUCCCCCAGGAGGUGGGGCAGCCCUGGUGUUCACAGCUCCAGCUGGCUAUGGAGAGGGCAUCGCUGGAUAGAACUGAGAUGGUGCCAGGCUCCUGAGGCUCUGAUGCCCAACCUGGCCUGCUCUGGCUGUUAGUUUCGCCGGACUGGAUGCCACAUGGACACAGGCCUGCGUAGUGUGGCCAGCAUCUGGUUCCAAUGUGUGGUGCCCAUGCCACUGACCCCUGGCCCAAUGAUGACAUGGCCCACGUUGUCCCCACGGCCGUCGCUGCUGCUCUCAGCCACUGUCACCCGGAGAGACAGGUCCUGGGAAGAAGGUGACAUGAAAGAUUGGGACCAGGAGCAGCUAAAGGGUUCUCCCUGGCUCCAAGGCUCCAAGGCCCUGUGAGGUGCAUACAGCUAUUUGAAUCUUCCCAUCUGGCUUGGGAGGAGAGACUUGUCCUAGUUACUUCCAGAUGGAUAAGCCAGCUAUGAUGUGACCUCGCUAAGUGCUAAAAAGUGACAGUCCCAGCAGGAUUCAAAAUCCAUCUCUCAGUUCUCUGUCCCUCGACAUUUUUUUCUUUAAGAUUUAUUUUUGAGUUUGAAAAGAUGGGUCAGCAAUUAAACACACUUGCUGUUCUUGCAGAGAACCUUGGUUUGAGUCCCAGCAUCUGUACAUCGACUCAGUCACCUGAGGCUAUCUGAACUCUCUCUGUGGGCGUCUGGCAUGCAUGUUAUGCACAUACAUACAUGCAAGCAAAAUGCUCAAACACUUAAAAUAAUAAAAACCUUCAAAAGAUUUUAUUGUAAAAUAUGUAUAUCUGUAAUGGGACAUACUCACAUACAUGGGCACGUGAGUAUAAAAGGCCAGAAGAGAGCACUGGACCCUCUGGAGUUGAGAUUCUAAGCAGUUGUGAACCAUCUGAUGUAGGUGCUGGGAACUGAACUUGGGUCCUUUGCUAGAGAAGUAUGUCUCUUAACCACUGAGCCGUAUCUCCAUCCCUGCUUGUUCUUUUUUUUUUAAUUUAAAAAAAAAGAUUUUAUUUAUUUAUUUUAUAUAUGAUGAGUACACUGUCACUCUUUUCAGACACCCUAGAAAAGGGGGGCAUCAGAUCCCAUUACAGAUGGUUGUGAGCCACAUGGUUGCUGGGAAUUGACCUCAGGACCUCUGAAAGAGCAGUCAGUGCUCUCAACCUCUGAGUCAUCUCUCCAGCCCUACCCACCCCCCCAGUUGUUCUUGAGAUACAUAGUCUAGGCUGGCUUUGAACUUGCUGUGUAGCUGAGUCUAUACGUGGAUUCCUGAUCUUCCUGCCUUGACAUCUUAAGUACUAAAGUAACAAGUGCAUGCCACUAUAUCAGGCUUAGAACUCAGGCUGUUAGAUUGUUUGUUUGUUUGUUUGUUUGUUUGUUUGUUUUGGUUUAAAAAAAAGAUUUUUAAUG